rnacentral:rRNA from 1 species
AGAGUUUGAUCCUGGCUCAGAUUGAACGCUGGCGGCAGGCCUAACACAUGCAAGUCGAGCGGCAGCACGGGUACUUGUACCUGGUGGCGAGCGGCGGACGGGUGAGUAAUGCCUAGGAAUCUGCCUAGUAGUGGGGGAUAACGUCCGGAAACGGGCGCUAAUACCGCAUACGUCCUACGGGAGAAAGUGGGGGAUCUUCGGACCUCACGCUAUUAGAUGAGCCUAGGUCGGAUUAGCUAGUUGGUGAGGUAAUGGCUCACCAAGGCGACGAUCCGUAACUGGUCUGAGAGGAUGAUCAGUCACACUGGAACUGAGACACGGUCCAGACUCCUACGGGAGGCAGCAGUGGGGAAUAUUGGACAAUGGGCGAAAGCCUGAUCCAGCCAUGCCGCGUGUGUGAAGAAGGUCUUCGGAUUGUAAAGCACUUUAAGUUGGGAGGAAGGGCAGUUACCUAAUACGUGAUUGUUUUGACGUUACCGACAGAAUAAGCACCGGCUAACUCUGUGCCAGCAGCCGCGGUAAUACAGAGGGUGCAAGCGUUAAUCGGAAUUACUGGGCGUAAAGCGCGCGUAGGUGGUUUGUUAAGUUGGAUGUGAAAGCCCCGGGCUCAACCUGGGAACUGCGUCCAAAACUGGCAAGCUAGAGUAUGGUAGAGGGUGGUGGAAUUUCCUGUGUAGCGGUGAAAUGCGUAGAUAUAGGAAGGAACACCAGUGGCGAAAGCGACCACCUGGGACUGAUACUGACACUGAGUGCGAAAGCGUGGGGGAGCAAACAGGAUUAGAUACCCUGGUAGUCCACGCCGUAAACGAUGUCAACUAGCCGUUGGGAGCCUUGAGCUCUUAGUGGCGCAGCUAACGCAUUAAGUUGACCGCCUGGGGAGUACGGCCGCAAGGUUAAACUCAAAUGAAUUUGACGGGGGCCGCACAAGCGGUGGAGCAUGGUGGUUUAAUUCGAAGCACGCGAAGAGCCUUACCAGGCCCUUGAACAUCCAAUGAACUUUUCUAGGAGAUU